CCCUAGUAACUGCGAGUGAAGCGGGAUGAGCUCAAAUUUURAAUCUGGCGGUCGUUUCGGCCGUCCGAGUUGUAAUCUAGAGAAGCGUCUUCCGCGCUGGCCCGUGUACAAGUCUCCUGGAAGGGAGCGUCAUAGAGGGUGAGAAUCCCGUCUUUGACACGGACUACCAGUGCUAUGUGAUGCGCUCUCGACGAGUCGAGUUGUUUGGGAAUGCAGCUCAAAACGGGUGGUAAACUCCAUCUAAAGCUAAAUACAGGCGAGAGACCGAUAGCGAACAAGUACCGUGAGGGAAAGAUGAAAAGAACUUUGGAAAGAGAGUUAAACAGUACGUGAAAUUGCUGAAAGGGAAACGCUUGAUGUCAGUCGCGUCGGCCGGGGAUCAGCCUUGCUUCAUCGCUGGGCGUACUUCCUGGUCGACGGGUCAGCAUCGGUUUCGGUCGUCGUACAAUGGCGGAGGGAACGUGGCACUCUUCCGAGUGUGUUAUAGCCCUUCGUCRUAUGCRGCGGUCGGGACCGAGGAACUCAGCAACGACCUCCGGGUCUGUGCUUAGGAUGCUGGCAUAAUGGCCUUAAGCGACCCGUCUUGAAACACGGACCAAGGAGUCUAACAUGCCUGCGAGUGUUCGGGUGGAAAACCCGUGCGCGAAACGAAAGUGAAAGUCGAGACCUCCGUCGUGGAGGGCACCGACGCCCGGACCUGAGUCUUCGACGACGGAUCUGCGGUAGAGCAUGCAUGUUGGGACCCGAAAGAUGGUGAACUAUGCCUGAAUAGGGUGAAGCCAGAGGAAACUCUGGUGGAGGCUCGUAGCGAUUCUGACGUGCAAUCGAUCGUCGAAUU
rnacentral:rRNA from 1 species